UACGAAGGGGGCGAGCGUUGUUCGGAAUUACUGGGCGUAAAGGGCUCGUAGGCGGCCAACUAAGUCAGACGUGAAAUCCCUCAGCUUAACUGGGGAACUGCGUCUGAUACUGGAUGGCUUGGAUUCGGGAGAGGAAUGCGGAAUUCCAGGUGUAGCGGUGAAAUGCGUAGAUAUCUGGAGGAACACCGGUGGCGAAGGCGGCAUCCUGGACCAAUUCUGACGCUGAGGAGCGAAAGCCAGGGGAGCAAACGGG
rnacentral:rRNA from 1 species